rnacentral:rRNA from 1 species
UAGUACGGCGAGUGAAGAGAGGAAGAGCCCAAGAUUGAAAGCUGGCGUCUUCGGCGUCCGCAUUGUAAUCUCAAGAAGUGUUUUCCGCUUCGGACCAAGCCUAAGUCCCCUGGAAAGGGGCAUCAUAGAGGGUGAUAAUCCCGUACAUGGCUUGGAGCGCCCGAGGCUUUGUGAUACGCUUUCUAAGGGUCGAGUUGUUUGGGAAUGCAGCUCAAAAUGGGUGGUAAAUGCCAUCUAAGGCUAAAUAUUGGGGAGAGACCGAUAGCGAACAAGUACAGUGAUGGAAAGAUAAAAAGAACUUUGAAAAGAGAGUUAAACAGUACGUGAAAUUGCCAAAAGGGAAGGGUAGGAGGUCAGAGAUGCGGCCUGGGAUUCAGCCUUGCUUUUGCUUGGUGUUUUUCCCAGAUUGCAGGCCAACGUCGGUUUUGGGCACUGGAGAAGGGUAGGAGGAACGUGGCACCCCUCGGGGUGUGUUAUAGCCUCCUACUGGAUACAGCGACCGAGACCGAGGACAGCAGCGUACUCGCAAGAGCGGGCCUUCGGGCACCUUUACGCUUAGGGCGUUGGCGUGAUGGCCCUCUACCACCCGUCUUGA